AACGAACGCUGGCGGCAUGCCUAACACAUGCAAGUCGAACGAGACCUCCGGGUCUAGUGGCGCACGGGUGCGUAACGCGUGGGAAGCUGCACGUAGGUUCGGAAUAACUCCCUGUAAGGGGUGCUAAUACCGGAUAAUGUCUUCGGACCAAAGAUGUAUGGCUAUUGGAUGGGCCCGCGUUGGAUUAGCCGGUUGGUAGGGUAAAAGCAUGCCAAGGAGUCGAUCCAUAGCUGGUCUGUGAAGAUGAUCCACCACGCUGGGACUGAGACACGGCCCAGACUCGGACGGAGGGGAGCAGUGGGGAAUAUUGGACGAUGGGCGAAGGUCUGAUCCAGCAGUGCCGCGUGAGUGAUGAAGGCCUUAGUGUUGUAAAGCUCUUUUACCCGGGAUGAUAAUGACGGUACCGGGAGAAUAAGCACCGGCUAACUCCGUG
rnacentral:rRNA from 1 species